UUUUUUUUUUUUUUUGGGGUGGAGGUGAAGGUUUUCGAUACGAGGAAAUGAUUUGUUUACUAGCUGUAGCUGGACAUUGCCUCGUUUAAAUUUUUGUUCAUUUUGGAAAAUGCAUGUUUAUAAUAUUUUAAUGUGAUUCUAGAGUCUCUUCUAUCAUUUUCUGCCUUGUUUCUGGUGAAUGUGGAUUUGGGUUUUGAGAUUUCAGCUCAUAAUGUUGGAUGUCUAGACAUGGGUAGGGAAUUAUUAGGAAUUUUUUUUGUGUAAAUUCAUUUUGAUGAGUUCUUCUUUAACUAUUUGUUUGUUUCUUAAUUAUUCACAAGAUUAUAAAAUCUGGGAAUGGAAUGCAAAUUGGCGAAUUUGUAUUUCCAACUUCAAUGCAUGAAGUUUAAUUCCCUACGCUUUUAAUGCAUCAUUUUUAAUCCUCGAUGUCUGUUUUGAAAUUAUAUAAGGCUUCAUUUCUAUAUAUGAGGAAUUGACAUGAAGGAGUUUUUGAAUUUGAAGUUAUGUUGUUAUUUUGUGAUUUUUCACGAAAGACAUCUGUUUGUUUCAUUAGGCUUUAGAAAAAGAAAUUCUCCAUGAGCGGCGCCUUGACCUCUGUAUUGAAGGCAGGAUCUGGAAUUGCCCUUUGUGGUGUUUUUUAGCAGAGUAUAAUUGCUUUGGGAUUAAACUUUGAGAGAUGACACGAGGUAGGAUAAGGGCAAGGCUCCGCCGGAGCCAUUUUCACCCAUUUUCUUGCAUGAGACCAAGAACAGAAGAUGGUAAAGGACCACAUCCAAUUGAAGGACCUGGGUAUUCAAGAGUUGUUCAUUGCAACCAACCACGUAUGCACCGGAGAAAGCCUUUAAAGUAUUGCUCAAAUUAUAUAUCCACAACAAAGUAUAACAUCGUCACCUUCCUGCCUAAGGCACUCUUUGAGCAGUUCCGGCGUGUUGCUAAUAUCUACUUCCUUUUGGCUGCUAUUCUUUCACUUACACCUGUUGCUCCAUUCUCUGCUGUGAGCAUGAUUUUUCCUUUGGCUUUUGUUGUUGGUAUUAGUAUGGCAAAGGAAGCUUUAGAAGAUUGGCGUAGGUUUAUUCAGGAUAUGAAGGUUAAUACCAGGAAAGCUAGUGUCCAUGUAGCUGAUGGAUUUGGUUACAAGACGUGGGAGAAGAUUCAGGUUGGUGAUGUGGUGAGGGUGGAAAAGGAUCAGUUUUUCCCAGCUGAUUUGCUUUUAUUGUCCAGUAGUUAUGAAGAUGGGAUUUGCUAUGUGGAGACUAUGAAUUUGGAUGGUGAGACAAACUUGAAGCCAAAAAGAGCUUUGGAGGUAACAUUGCCUCUGGAUGAAGAUGAGGCGUUCAAGAAUUUUACAGGAACGAUAAAAUGUGAGGACCCAAAUCCCAGUCUUUACACCUUUAUUGGUAAUCUUGAGUAUAAUCAUCAGGUUUAUCCUCUUGAUCCUAGUCAGAUUCUCCUUAGAGAUUCAAAGCUUAGGAAUACAACUUUUGUUUAUGGGGUUGUGAUAUUCACUGGUUUUGACAGCAAAGUUAUGCAGAACUCAACAAAGUCCCCCUCAAAGAGGAGCAGAAUAGAAAGAAAAAUGGACAAAAUUAUAUACAUCCUUUUCAGCCUCCUUUUAGUGAUCUCGUUGAUAAGCUCAAUUGGUUUUGCAGUGAAGAUAAAAUUCCAAAUGCCAGACUGGUGGUACAUGCAACCAUCAAAACCUGAAAAUCUGUAUGAUCCUAAUAGCCCUGUCAAGUCAGGUCUAGCCCAUCUGAUCACUGCUCUCAUCCUUUAUGGGUAUUUAAUACCCAUCUCUCUUUAUGUUUCAAUUGAGGUUGUGAAAGUUUGUCAAGCAAAAUUCAUUGACGAGGACCUGAAGAUGUAUGAUGAAGAAACUGGCAAUACUGCUGAAGCACGAACAUCAAACUUAAAUGAGGAGUUGGGCCAAGUGGACACAAUCCUCUCUGAUAAAACCGGCACCUUGACCUGUAAUCAGAUGGAUUUUCUGAAGUGUUCCAUUGCUGGUACUGCAUAUGGUGUGCGUUCUAGUGAAGUUGAACUUGCUGCAGCGAAACAGAUGGCCAUGGACCUUGAGGAGCAGGAUGUAGAAAUAUCUAAUGGCUCCAGCCUUAAGAACCAUGCUCGUAAUUCAUGGGAGAAUAGCAGUGGAGCACCAGAAAUUGAACUCGAGACUGUCAUUACUUCUGCAGAUGAAAAGGAUCAGAAAACAGCGAUAAAGGGGUUUAGUUUUGAGGACAACCGUCUCAUGGAUGGAAAUUGGUUGAAGGAGCCCAAUACAGAUGUCAUUUUAUUAUUCUUCCGGAUAUUAGCAGUUUGUCAGAGUGCUGUUCCUGAGCUGAAUGAAGAGACUGGCAUUUUCACAUAUGAAGCAGAGUCUCCGGAUGAAGGGGCCUUUCUUGUUGCAGCAAGAGAAUUUGGUUUUGAAUUUUGUAAAAGAACUCAAUCAAGCGUGAUUAUCCGUGAAAAGUUUGCUCGCCCAGGACAACUGGUCGAAAGGGAGUUCAAAAUUCUCAGUUUGUUGGAAUUUACUAGCAAAAGGAAGCGAAUGUCUGUCAUUGUGAGGGAUGAGGAUGGACAGAUUCUGCUCCUGUGCAAAGGUGCUGACAGCAUCAUUUUUGACCGCCUAUCAAAGAAAGGAAGAAUGUACGAGGAAACUACUGCUAAGCACUUGAAUGAGUAUGGAGAAGCUGGGUUGCGCACAUUGGCGCUUGCUUACAAGAAGCUUGAUGAGUCCGAGUAUAAUACAUGGAACAAUGAGUUUAUGAAAGCCAAAACUUCUGUUGUUGCUGAUCGAGAUGGAAUGCUUGAGCGAGUAGCAGAUAUGAUGGAAAGGGAAUUGAUUCUUGUGGGUGCUACUGCUGUUGAGGACAAAUUACAAAAAGGGGUGCCCCAGUGCAUAGAUAAACUCGCUCAAGCUGGCCUCAAGAUAUGGGUUUUGACAGGGGAUAAGAUGGAAACUGCGAUCAAUAUAGGAUAUGCAUGUAGUUUACUUCGACAGGGAAUGAAACAAAUUUGCAUCACAGUGACAAACUCAGAUGCAACAUCCCAAGAUUCCAAACAGGCUGUGAAAGAUAAUAUUUUGCAUCAAAUCACCAAUGCCUCUCACAUGAUUAAACUAGAAAAGGAUCCACUUGCUGCAUUUGCAUUAAUAAUUGAUGGGAAAACUUUGACUUUUGCUCUGGAGGAUGAUAUGAAGCACCAGUUCUUGGCAUUGGCCGUUGAAUGUGCAUCUGUCAUAUGCUGUCGUGUCUCUCCCAAGCAGAAGGCGCUGGUAACAAGAUUAGUGAAAGAAGGAACUGGAAGAACCACCUUAGCUAUAGGUGAUGGUGCAAAUGAUGUCGGAAUGAUUCAAGAAGCUGACAUUGGUGUUGGCAUCAGUGGGGUGGAAGGUAUGCAGGCUGUGAUGGCCAGUGAUUUCUCAAUUUCCCAGUUUCAGUUCUUGGAAAGACUUCUAGUAGUGCAUGGACACUGGUGCUACAAGAGAAUUGCUCAGAUGGUAAUAGCCAAACAAUAGCAACCUUGAUGCUUUAUUUCAUGAAUUCAACAGCAUAGCAUCCACUGCACAGCCACAGAUACAUAUGCAUUGCAUAAACACAAUUUGGCAUCUAAUGUUGUUCUGAAUAACCCACAUGGUUGACUAAUCUUUACUUAAACCUGGAUCUUUGGCUUACAGAUUUGCUAUUUCUUCUACAAAAAUAUAGCAUUUGGUCUCACCCUGUUCUACUUUGAGGCAUUUGCAGCCUUUUCUGGGCAAUCAGUUUACGAUGACUGGUACAUGCUAUUGUUUAAUGUCGUUCUUACCUCCUUACCUGUUAUUUCACUUGGAGUUUUUGAACAAGAUGUUUCUUCAGAGGUCUGCUUACAGUUCCCGGCACUUUAUCAGCAAGGACCCAAAAAUCUGUUCUUUGACUGGUAUAGGAUACUGGGAUGGAUGGGCAACGGUCUCUAUUCCUCUCUUGUUAUUUUCUUCCUCAAUCUUGUCAUCCUGUUUGACCAACCAUUCCGAGCCGAAGGUCAAACUGCUGAUAUGUCAGCGGUGGGCACCACUAUAUUCUCUUGCAUCGUCUGUGCUGUGAACUGCCAGAUCGCACUUACAAUGAGCCACUUCACAUGGAUUCAACACGUUUUUGUCUGGGGCAGCAUUGCCUCUUGGUUCUUGUUUCUCCUACUUUACGGGAUGGUAUCUCCUAUUUAUUCUGGGAAUGCCUACCAAAUUUUAGUUGAAGCUCUUGGUCCAGCACCUAUAUAUUGGUGUUCCAUCAUCUUGGUAACAGUUGCAUGUAAUUUGCCUUACAUAACUCACAUUUCGUUCCAAAGAUGUAUCCAUCCAAUGGAUCACCAUAUCAUCCAAGAAAUCAAGUACUAUAGGAAGGAUGUUGAGGAUCAACACAUGUGGAGAAGAGAGCGGUCGAAGGCAAGACAAGAAACCAAGAUUGGUUUCUCAGUGAGGGUGGAUGCAAAGAUAAGGCAGUUAAAAGGGAAGUUGCACAAGAAGCAUUCAACUUUAGUAACACAAAGUUAUGCAUCUUCCCCAUCAUAACCUAUUCCAAUAUUUUUUUUUUCAUUCCUUUUCUUUUUCUUAUUUUUGAAAAGCUUUUAGGGUUUUUAGGCGUUUGCAGUUUCAAUCAUUGCCCUUGUAACGAUUCAUUUUGCAGUGAUUUUU
rnacentral:misc_RNA from 1 species